rnacentral:rRNA from 1 species
GACGAACGCUGGCGGUGUGCUUCACACAUGCAAGUCGAACGAGGUAGCAAUACCUAGUGGCGGACGGGUGAGUAAACGCGUGGGAAUCUGCCUUUAGAUGGGGGAUAACGGGUCGAAAGACUCGCUAAUACCGCAUAUGACGAAAGUUGAAAGGAGUAAUCCGUCUAAAGAUGAGCCCGCGUCCGAUUAGCUAGUUGGUAGAGUAAAAGCCUACCAAGGCGACGAUCGGUAGCUGGUCUGAGAGGAUGAUCAGCCACAAUGGGACUAGAGACACGGCCCAUACUCCUACGGAGGCAGCAGUGGGAAUUUUACGCAAUGGCGGAAGCCUGACGUAGCGACACCGCGUGAGCGAAGAAGCCCUUGGGGUGUAAAGGCUCUGUCAGCUGGACGAAAAAAAUGACGGUACCAGCAGAGGAAGCAUCGGCUAACUACGUGCCAGCAGCCGCGGUAAU